rnacentral:rRNA from 1 species
GCGAUCUCCGGGCCAGCAGCCGCGGUAAAGCGGGGGGUGCAAGCGGUAAUCGGAAGUACUGGGCGUAAAGCGCACGCAGGCGGUCUGUCAAGUCGGAUGUGAAAUCCCCGGGCGCAACCUGGGAACUGCAUUCGAAACUGGCAGGCUGGAGUCUUGUAGAGGGGGGUAGAAUUCCAGGUGUAGCGGUGAAAUGCGUAGAGAUCUGGAGGAAUACCGGUGGCGAAGGCGGCCCCCUGGACAAAGACUGACGCUCAGGUGCGAAAGCGUGGGGAGCAAACAGGAUUAGAUACCCGUGUAGUC